GGGCUGCAUCUGCUGCAUAUGGAAGUUCCCAGGCUAGGGUCUGAACUGGAGCUGCAGUGCCGGCCCACAUCACAGCCAACUAAGCCAGACCCUUAACCCCCCGAGCGAGGCCAGGGAUUGACCCCGCAUCCUCAUGGACACCAUGUCGGGUUCUUAAUCUGCUGAGCCACAAGGGGAACUCCUGAGGGGACAAUUUUAAUCUGACUGAAACAACCUCCAAGCCACCUGCCUUGGUCACAAGAGGCAUGGAAGCUUCAAGAUGGGUUCUCCCCAGGAGCGAGGAGGACGGAGCUACGGUCUUAUCAUUUUCAGGCUGAUGGGGCCACUGGUCCAGCUGCCACACAAGCCCAGUGGCAGCCCCCGUCGGGCCGCUGAGCUGCAGGAGGGAGGGAGCAGGGCUGGGCUCUCGGGGCGGCCAGGAGCCUCCCUCUGGGCCUGGCAAUCAGCAUCUUUACUAAGACCCUACUCUGUGCUGACACUGAGCUCUGAGCCCCAGACACAAACGGAGAGAGACCUGUGUUCGCGUGGAGCUUGCAGUUACCCCGGAAAAAAAGAACACCCGGGGGAGGCCCGAGAAAGAAAGAUCACAGUAGGUUCUGGAAGGUUCUCCAGAGCGACUGCUUCCCUGCCGAGCCCUAAAGGGUCCCUGGAACCCGGAGGAUGCAGAGGAGGGAAGGUCUGCGGGUCAGGNNNNNNNNNNNNNNNNNNNNNNNNNNNNNNNNNNNNNNNNNNNNNNNNNNNNNNNNNNNNNNNNNNNNNNNNNNNNNNNNNNNNNACAGUGGGACGGAGCCCGGGCCGCCGGGUCAUCCAUCAGACUCGCCCCUCAUUCCUGCCACCCUGUCCCCUGAAACGGGGCACAGAGGAGUGGGCAACUUCCCCGGGUGUCACAGAGGCCUCGUGCACAGAAGGCGACUUUCACAGCCACCAGGAGAGGGGGAGCCAGGAGGACUGUGACGGCUGACUCUGUUUUUAUGCAAAUACAAGGAUUUCUAAUGAUUCAGGAGUAAGAGGCUCCCCUGCAGGGGAACAGGGACGGAGGGGGGAGGGAGGAGUCUGGGGGAGGGGGGGACCCACUAGGCGGUGGGUCACCCCCCUGGGCUGAGCUGGUCUGGGGAGUGUUCGUGCCCGCCCCCCAGUCCCCUGACCUCGGCGGUGAGGCUGUGCCAAGGCAGCCCGGGGUGGGUGGUCCCUUCCUCCAGGAUCCAAGCCUGGAUGGGAAGGCCACGAUGAGGGCCCCCUGCAGCCCCCGUGCCUGGAGGCAUUUUAAAUCCCUGGGAGAGCAGAUGUUACCAGGGGAAGGCCAAGGUCAGGCUGCCCCUGCACCUGUCCCCACCCCGGAUCCCCAGGGAGAGGAAAGAGCCACGUGCUUUGGCCUUGGCACACAGCAGGUGCUCAAUAAGUGCCGGUGGAAGGGGUGGUCCCAGGGGAUCCUUAGCAGGGUGAACUCAUCCAUCCGAACGGUACCGGCUUCUUCCCCCCAAGACCCCGCGUGACCCUGGACCAAUCAGGGAGGAUCUGGAGCAGAGGCCAGCGUGAUAUGAGGACCUGGCCCUGGACGGUCCAGGGUGGAACAUUCCAGGUGGAGGCCCUGAGCUGGGAGGAGUGCUGUGCUGUGGGCUGUCGAGGCUAGUGGGGGGUCACGGUCAGAAGGUGGAGGCUGGGCUGCGGGGCUCAACCCCCCUGGGUGAGAGAGGCGGGCGGAAGUAGACAGGGGUGGGGGGUCUGAGCUCUGCCGUUAGGGAGAUGGAGGGCUGUGCUGGGGUCGCCAGGGUGUGCAUUUGCGCCCCGGACCCGGAGCCUCGGCCCUGGCUCCCCCGGGACAACGUGCAAGGCCUCCUGCGAUGACCCAGGAGUUCCCAAGCUCUGUGACAGAGCCUCCACUGCCCCCGAAGGCAGCCGACUGCCCCCCGGGCAAGGCUGAGGGUAGCUGGUGCCAGGCUUGGGCGACCCACAGAACUGCUCCGUCACGAGAACAACAUCCAAGAUUUAGCGUCAGGCAUCCAGUAAAGCUCCCGUGUCCCUCCUUGCCCAGCCAAGCAGCCCCAGUCCCUCCGCUCCCUGUCCCCAGUGCUGCCACCCAUCACCCUUAACGGUAUGCUGUCAAAAUCCUUCGUUCUAGAACACGGGCAACGCGAGCUAAGUCAGGACUUGGCAUUAGCAGCUUGGAGUGUGAAUGCCUAGGCUCUGGAGAGGCCCUUCUAGGUGGCACCUGCGCCCCCAUCCUCAAUUCCUGUUCUGUCACUGCCCCAAAUGUCUAUACUAGCCGCCAGCUCUUUACUGACUGAGGGCAAAUGUCGCGAGAACAGGCAAACCCCUGAUCUAAUUCGUACUAAGGUGUCAAUGACUUUUUUUCUCCCACAUAAUUUUAACAAGUGAACAGGGCAACCAGCAUCGGGUCCACGGACAUCUGGGGACAGAAGUGGAGAAAGGGGAAAAAAUUCCCAUGGCCAAGGGGAAGGGAAGGAGGAAGAGGUGCGGGAGAAGGGGGGCAAGGAAAACCUUUAUUUCCUGCUGGUCUGGCCUGGACUGACCCAGCCCUUCACUGCCCACUGCCUUGUCUCUGCCGCCCAGCACAGCCAGGGAGGGGCCAGCAUCUGCCUGACAGACAUGCCCGGGGUGGCCACGUUCCCGCUCCAGGGCCACAGGCAGCAGGACCCCCACCCCAGCCUGAUCCACCCUAUGGGCUGGGGCUCUGACCCCUGCGUGAGCACGGGCUGCUGCCUGGCCUUGCAUCAGUUUCCUCCCCUCCCCACACCCUGCACCUGCUGUGUCCCGGCUCGUGGCGCGGUCUCUGCGCACUGGGAGAGCGCCCCUGCCUGCAGGUGCCCAUCCGCUUCCAAAGCAUGAAGACUUCCAGCCAAGAAGAAAGAGGAAUGGAGAAGGGAGAGGAAGAAAAAAGAAAGAAAGAGAGAGCAAGAUUCCUCGGAAGAGUAAAAACCUGCGCCUCGGGAGGAAGCGGGAUGAGAAAAUGCCCAGCGCUGAGGCGGGACCCCUCGACGUCACGCCCGACACAGGGAUGGGUGGCGGCUCGAUGUUGACGCAUCAGAAAGUUUCCAAAAAGAAGGAAAAGAGAACACUUGCUAAGACUGGGUCACGUGUCUCCAGAACAGAUGGGGUUCCCAAGCCCAGGGUGGGCGGGGGACUGAAUGCCCGAUUUCUGUUAUCGCGUGUAAUAAGACACCAAGAAAACAGGGUGAGACAGGUGGGGGAAGGCCGGGCCUCCCGGCAGAGGCUAAGAAUGCCGGGCGAUGUGGUAAGACUUGCAUUAGCAUAAAUUUAGCCUUAUCUUCAAGGAAGGCAGGACUCGCUCAGCUACAAUGCCCGCUUGUGCUGCAAGGGCCACUGGUCACCGGGCCAGGGUGGGGCUUGCUGGGAUUGGGGGGGGCUGGGCCGCAGAAGAUGGGGUCCAGCUUUCCUACUGAAUGGUCCUGCCCCCUCCCCAGCCCCUCUCCACACUCCCACCCAUUCCAUAAACAUAUGGUAGCAGGCACACUCAGGCCUAUGGCAGCUUCUAACCCAGGGAAGUUCAAGUUCAUUUUAUACCCUAAAAUGAAGGUCUGGCACAGGCACCAUGUCACCUGGGGAGACUUAAAAAUACAGAUGUUGGGCUUCGCACUCAGAGACUUUCAAUCCCCCCCCUGCCCCCUGCAGGGUCCCAGAAGGCAGCUGGUGUGGGACCCAGCUAGUCUCAGGAGGACAGACACACACACACACAGGUGACCGUGGUGCUGUGAUUCCAUGGAGGCCACAGAAGCCCCAGGAGGGGAUGCUGGACAAGGCUCUGGAGAGAAGGCAGCUUCUGGAAUUUUCUGUCUGCCUCCCUCCAGCCUGAAUCCUUCAGAACAUGCGGCACCAGUGCACGUGGGUUCCCAGAGUUCAGUUUCGCUGGCAAGAUGCAGCUCUUUGGGGUCUUCUGGAAGAUGGGUCCCCCGGGGAGGGCUUCCGGGAGCACAGAGCCACCCUUUGUCAAUGUCUGCCAGGCGUGGUGCCUCCGCAUGGCAAAGGUCUCUUGCCCUGAUUCUGUCCCUGUGUUUGGGGAUCACUGCAUCUUCUUAAUUAAAAAAAAAAGUCUUACCUUUCUUCUCAGAGUACCCUCGGCUGCAUUCCCUAUGGCUCAUCCUCACGCAAAGUCCAUGAAACAUAUGGGCCAGGUGUCAGCAGACCCAUUUUUCAGAUAAGGAAACUAAGGCCUUAACAGAUCUAGCAGCUUACUCAAGACCAUGCACUUGGACGUGACAGAGGUAGACCCUCCCCUGACCACUCAAUCCCAAGAGCAGGCUGUCCCCCUGCUAUCGGAGAAGUUUCAACUCUCACAGCCACUCUCUGUGCUUACACCCCGCUGAGGCAUAAAAGGUUCUGCAGGAGGCAGCUGUUAAGAUGCACAUGGGGAGUUCCUGCGGUGGCACAGUGGGUUAAGAACCUGACGGCAGUGGCUGGGGUCACUAAGGAGGUACGGGUCUGAUCCCUGGCCCAGUGCAGUGGGUUAAGGGUCCCGUUUGGGGGCAGCUGUGGUGUAGGUCGCGGCUGCAGCUCAGAUUCAGUCCCUGGCCUGGGAACUUCCAUAGGCCAGGGGUGUGGCCAUAGGGAAAAAAACGCAUAACGGGAGCUCUGCUUCUGGCCACAACAGCAUAGCAACUGUGUUAGAGCAAUCUUUCUGCCAAGAACAAUGCUAGACGCUGGAUAAAAACAAACACAACCCCCUCCGCCGCCCCCACCCCCCGCAGGUAUUGGAGGGAACUGAAGGAAAAACAGGCAGACAGGAUGCAAAGGCUAAGACCUCCGAGGGGAGGGAACCACGGAGAAGCAGGCUCAAUAUUCUGGUCCGCUGAUGGUCAGGCAGCUCGUGCACAAGGUUGAGCAGGUGAGAAAUACGGCAGAACGUGACCGCUAAGACAGUACAAGGCAACUGGAGAUUCGGGCAGCCUCGUGAGGUCAGGGAAGCAAGAACUGGAGUUCGGGGCGCCCCUAGGAGCGGGGGUGGGGGUGGGGGUGGGGGGACGGUCCAGCUUUCAGCCGAGAACCCUGUGAGGCUACAUCCCAGGAGGAGACGUCCUUCCCCAGAUGCUGGAGUCCGGCCUCGCCUCAUCCCCAACCCUGAUAGAAACACGCUGACCUGCCUGCAGUCUGCUGGCCAAAGAAACUAAGGUCCUCUCGGGAAGAAGCCGACGUCACCCAGAGCC
ensembl:lncRNA